rnacentral:rRNA from 1 species
GAUGAACGCUGGCGGCGUGCCUAAUACAUGCAAGUCGAGCGAACGGACGAGAAGCUUGCUUCUCUGAUGUUAGCGGCGGACGGGUGAGUAACACGUGGAUAACCUACCUAUAAGACUGGGAUAACUUCGGGAAACCGGAGCUAAUACCGGAUAAUAUUUUGAACCGCAUGGUUCAAAAGUGAAAGACGGUCUUGCUGUCACUUAUAGAUGGAUCCGCGCUGCAUUAGCUAGUUGGUAAGGUAACGGCUUACCAAGGCAACGAUGCAUAGCCGACCUGAGAGGGUGAUCGGCCACACUGGAACUGAGACACGGUCCAGACUCCUACGGGAGGCAGCAGUAGGGAAUCUUCCGCAAUGGGCGAAAGCCUGACGGAGCAACGCCGCGUGAGUGAUGAAGGUCUUCGGAUCGUAAAACUCUGUUAUUAGGGAAGAACAUAUGUGUAAGUAACUGUGCACAUCUUGACGGUACCUAAUCAGAAAGCCACGGCUAACUACGUGCCAGCAGCCGCGGUAAUACGUAGGUGGCAAGCGUUAUCCGGAAUUAUUGGGCGUAAAGCGCGCGUAGGCGGUUUUUUAAGUCUGAUGUGAAAGCCCACGGCUCAACCGUGGAGGGUCAUUGGAAACUGGAAAACUUGAGUGCAGAAGAGGAAAGUGGAAUUCCAUGUGUAGCGGUGAAAUGCGCAGGGAUAUGGAGGAACACCAGUGGCGAAGGCGACUUUCUGGUCUGUAACUGACGCUGAUGUGCGAAAGCGUGGGGAUCAAACAGGAUUAGAUACCCUGGUAGUCCACGCCGUAAACGAUGAGUGCUAAGUGUUAGGGGGUUUCCGCCCCUUAGUGCUGCAGCUAACGCAUUAAGCACUCCGCCUGGGGAGUACGACCGCAAGGUUGAAACUCAAAGGAAUUGACGGGGACCCGCACAAGCGGUGGAGCAUGUGGUUUAAUUCGAAGCAACGCGAAGAACCUUACCAAAUCUUGACAUCCUUUGACAACUCUAGAGAUAGAGCCUUCCCCUUCGGGGGACAAAGUGACAGGUGGUGCAUGGUUGUCGUCAGCUCGUGUCGUGAGAUGUUGGGUUAAGCCCCGCAACGAGCGCAACCCUUAAGCUUAGUUGCCAUCAUUAAGUUGGGCACUCUAAGUUGACUGCCGGUGACAAACCGGAGGAAGGUGGGGAUGACGUCAAAUCAUCAUGCCCCUUAUGAUUUGGGCUACACACGUGCUACAAUGGACAAUACAAAGGGCAGCGAAACCGCGAGGUCAAGCAAAUCCCAUAAAGUUGUUCUCAGUUCGGAUUGUAGUCUGCAACUCGACUACAUGAAGCUGGAAUCGCUAGUAAUCGUAGAUCAGCAUGCUACGGUGAAUACGUUCCCGGGUCU